rnacentral:rRNA from 1 species
GACGAACGCGGGCGGCGUGCUUAACACAUGCAAGUCGAACGGUAAGGCUCCAGCUUGCUGGGGUACACGAGUGGCGAACGGGUGAGUAACACGUGGGUGACCUGCCCUGCACUUCGGGAUAAGCCUGGGAAACUGGGUCUAAUACCGGAUAGGACCGCACCGUGAGGGUGUGGUGGAAAGUUUUUUCGGUGUGGGAUGGGCCCGCGGCCUAUCAGCUUGUUGGUGGGGUAAUGGCCUACCAAGGCGGCGACGGGUAGCCGGCCUGAGAGGGUGGACGGCCACAUUGGGACUGAGACACGGCCCAGACUCCUACGGGAGGCAGCAGUGGGGAAUAUUGCACAAUGGGCGGAAGCCUGAUGCAGCGACGCCGCGUGGGGGAUGACGGCCUUCGGGUUGUAAACUCCUUUCACCAUCGACGAAGGGUUUCUGACGGUAGAUGGAGAAGAAGCACCGGCUAACUACGUGCCAGCAGCCGCGGUAAUACGUAGGGUGCGAGCGUUGUCCGGAAUUACUGGGCGUAAAGAGCUCGUAGGUGGUUUGUCGCGUCGUCUGUGAAAUUCCGGGGCUUAACUCCGGGCGUGCAGGCGAUACGGGCAUAACUUGAGUACUGUAGGGGAGACUGGAAUUCCUGGUGUAGCGGUGAAAUGCGCAGAUAUCAGGAGGAACACCGGUGGCGAAGGCGGGUCUCUGGGCAGUAACUGACGCUGAGGAGCGAAAGCAUGGGGAGCGAACAGG